rnacentral:tRNA from 1 species
GCGGUUGAGGCUCAGUGGUAGAGCACUCGCCUAGCAUGUGUGAGGCACUGGGUUCAAUCCUCAGCACUGCA